rnacentral:rRNA from 1 species
AUUGAACGCUGGCGGCAUGCUUUACACAUGCAAGUCGAACGGCAGCGCGGGCUUCGGCCUGGCGGCGAGUGGCGAACGGGUGAGUAAUGCAUCGGAACGUGCCCAGUAGUGGGGGAUAGCCCGGCGAAAGCCGGAUUAAUACCGCAUACGACCUGAGGGUGAAAGCGGGGGACCGAAAGGCCUCGCGCUAUUGGAGCGGCCGAUGUCGGAUUAGCUAGUUGGUGGGGUAAAGGCUUACCAAGGCGACGAUCCGUAGCUGGUCUGAGAGGACGACCAGCCACACUGGGACUGGGACACGGCCCAGCCUCCUACGGGGGGCAGCAGGGGGGAAUUUUGGACAAGGGGGGCAACCCUGUCCCCCCCAGGCCGCGUGCGGGAAGAAGGCCUUCGGGUUGUAACCCGCUUUUGUUGGGGAAGAAAUCCUCUGGGCUAAAACCCCGGGGGGAUGACGGUACCGGAAGAAUAAGCACCGGCUAACUACGU